UAUUCAUACCUCAAUUUUCUGGUGUAUAAAGAUAAAGCUUCUGUCUCCAAAAAGGAAUGAUUUCUGUACAAAGAUGUUCAUUGUACAUGAUAAGUGAAUAAUAUAUUUCUCCUACAACUUUUUUUUAAAGAUAACUGAACUGCUUAAUGAUGUGGAAAGAUUAAAACAGGCACUCAAUGGCCUUUCCCAACUCACCUACACAAGUGGGAACCCCACCAAGAGGCAGAGCCAGCUGAUUGACACUCUGCAGCACCAAGUGAAAUCUCUGGAGCAACAGCUGGCCGAUGCUGACAGACAGCACCAAGAAGUAAUUGCAAUUUAUCGGACACACCUUCUUAGUGCUGCACAGGGUCACAUGGAUGAAGAUGUUCAGGAGGCUCUGCUCCAGAUCAUACAAAUGCGGCAGGGGCUUGUGUGCUAGCAGUUAGCACUGACUGCCAGUAUCUGUUUUAUCUUGCUGGUGCUGAACAUUCUUUGUGCAACUCCAUGGUCUUUCUGGGCCUUACUGUGCUGGUAUAAUUAAAAUAAAAUAUAUUUUGUUC
rnacentral:sRNA from 1 species